rnacentral:miRNA from 1 species
GGAAAAGCACUGGACUUGGAGUCAGAAGGCCUG